rnacentral:rRNA from 1 species
UACGUAGGGUGCGAGCGUUAAUCGGAAUUACUGGGCGUAAAGCGUGCGUAGGCGGUUCGUUAAGUUCGUCGUGAAAGCCCCGGGCUCAACCUGGGAAUGGCGAUGGAAACUGGCGGGCUGGAGUAUGGCAGAGGGGGGUGGAAUUCCCAGUGUAGCGGUGAAAUGCGUAGAUAUUGGGAGGAACACCAGUGGCGAAGGCGGCUCACUGGACCGGUACUGACGCUGAUGCGCGAAAGCGUGGGGAGCAAACAGG